rnacentral:rRNA from 1 species
GAGAAAUCCUGAAGCAGCAACGCCGCGUGGAGGAUGACGGGUCUAUGACUUGUAAACUCCUGUAAAGAAGGAAAAAAUUCCCAUUUGAUGGGAGAUGAUGGUACUUCUGGAGUAAGCCCCGGCUAACUACGUGCCAGCAGCCGCGGUACUACGUAGGGGGCACGCGUUGUCCGGAUUUACUGGGUGUAAAGGGUGCUCAGGCGGAUUUGUAAGUCAGAGGUGAAAUCUUACAGCUUAACUGUGAAACUGCCGUUGAUACUGCAAGCCUAGAGUAUGGAAGAGAGUGAUGGAAUAUCUGGUGUAGCAGUGAAAUGCGUAGAUAUCAGAUAGAACACCAAUGGCAAAGGCAGUCACUUGGUCCAUUACUGACGCUAAAGCACGAAAGCGUUGGUAGCAAACA